rnacentral:lncRNA from 1 species
CUGAUUGAAUUUGUAGAUUAGGCAAGGAGAAACCAGCAGACAUGACAUUUGCUCCUCUUUUUUUGGAGCUUUCAGUCAUCACUUCAACAGCCUCAUUUUGAUAGUCAUAAACUGUGAGUAGAUUUUGAUUAGAUUGAAAGGGAUGACACUCUGACAGAAGCUUGAAAGCAGAAGAUUGAUUGGCAGUGAGAACCAUGGAGUAAUUAGCUUCUGAGAUAUUCAUGAAAGCCAUGAUCCAUCUCCCAAUAUCAGGUUGAAAUUCUGACUUUUCCCCCUCACCAUAUAGUAGCUGAGAGUCAUUCAGGUUUACUGACUUGUAGAAGAUAUAAAAAAAUGGGGGUUCUAAAGAAAUAGUAGAACCUGGUGAUUGAGUUUGAAGCUAAGAAUAAGAGAAAAGACCAUGACCAAUAUAGUCAAGGAACACAUGGUUGGAGGGGGAAAUAUGAUAGUAUUCUUGAGCUCGAAUUAGGUACCCAGCCUGUUCGGUUUGGGCCAAGGAAGCGAUUCAUGAUAAGUGAAAUGGAAAGCGAGGUAGAGAGAAUGAGCAGUGCAAACCUCGAAAUUCAUACCGUGAUACUGCCUCGGUGCUCAGAAUAAUUGAAGUUAAAGCAUAAUUAAAGUCGGGAAGGCCAACAAAAGGGCUGGGACAACAACCAAAAGAACAUGCUUUCGAGACAUCUCUUAAGAAUGUUGGUGUCGAUUUUGUUACAAAGAGGGGAAGAAAGGAAGAGAGAAGAAAAACAAAAUUUUUC